CUAACGAGGAUUUCCCUAGUAACGGCGAGUGAAAAGGAAAAAGCCCAACGCUGAAUCCAAUAGACAUUUUUUUGGCUAUAUGGAAAUGUAGCGUAUAGGUGUAACUAACCGUAGCAUAUUUUUACACCCAAAGUCCCCUUGAGCGGGGCUACAGUCCAUAGAAGGUGCUAGACCUGUACGGGUGAAAAAAGUUACGGUACGGUUACACUUUAGAGUCGGGUUGUUUGAGAUUGCAGCCCAAAGAGGGUGGUAAACCUCAUCUAAGGCUAAAUAUGACCACGAGACCGAUAGCAAACAAGUACCGUGAGGGAAAGUUGCAAAGAACUUUGAAGAGAGAGUUCAAGAGGGCGUGAAACCGCUGAGAUGGAAACGGAUAGAGUUAACGAAACUUAUCGGUAUUCAGCCAAUCAAUUUAGCAAUCUUAAAUUGAUUUAUCAUUUUUAUUGGGUAACACCGAUGAAAAUGAAAUGAUAUUUAAGAGAUGGGUGCUAAAUUAUCCAAUGUAUGCAAAAAAAAUGAUUGGUGUAUUUACCGAUGGUAUGCAUCGAAAGCUUCGUUUUAGCAUAUUGAUAGAACAAUUUAGUGGACCAAUUAUUCAAUGAAUAAUUGUAAUCCUAAAUUUUUUGGAAAUAUGUCUGAAAUGAAGUUUCAUUUCCCAUACAUGUAACUCUCACUUGAAAUAAUAGUGACAUGCAUCGAUUAAUAUUUUACCGGUAACAUUUACAUGUAGUCGCAUGCGACUUUAACAGUAAAUGAAUUUAUUGGUAAAAUAUGAAUAUUGUAUGCAUAAAAAGGUUACAUUUCGAUGUGAACGUUAAUCACCUAUCUGACCCGUCUUGAAACACGGACCAAGGAGU
rnacentral:rRNA from 1 species